rnacentral:rRNA from 1 species
UAGAGUUUGAUCCUGGCUCACAAAGAACGCUGCGCGGCAUGCCUAACACAUGCAAGUCGAACGAGACCUUUGGGUCUAGUGGCGCACGGGUGAGUAACGCGUGGGAAUCUGCCCUUUGGUUCGGAACAACACAGGGAAACUUGUGCUAAUACCGUAUGAUCCCUUCGGGCCAAAGAUUUAUCGCCCAAGGAUGAGCCCGCGUAGGAUUAGCUAGUUGGUGAGGUAAAGGCUCACCAAGGCGACGAUCCUUAGCUGGUCUGAGAGGAUGAUCAGCCACACUGGGACUGAGACACGGCCCAGACUCCUACGGGAGGCAGCAGUGGGGAAUAUUGGACAAUGGGCGAAAGCCUGAUCCAGCAAUGCCGCGUGAGUGAUGAAGGCCUUAGGGUUGUAAAGCUCUUUUACCCGGGAUGAUAAUGACAGUACCGGGAGAAUAAGCCCC